rnacentral:rRNA from 1 species
UUGGAGGGCAAGUCUGGUGCCAGCAGCCGCGGUAAUUCCAGCUCCAAUAGCGUAUAUUAAAGUUGUUGCAGUUAAAAAGCUCGUAGUUGAAUUUCGGAAUCCAUCCAUCGGUCGGGCCUCACGGUCCGCACUGGUGUGAUGGAUUUCUACCUUCUGAAUAACCAGCAUGUCAUUAAUUUGGUGCGUUGGGGAAGCAGGACUGUUACCUUGAAAAAUUAGAGUGCUUAAAGCAGGCUAGUGCCUGAAUACAUUAGCAUGGAAUAAUGAAAUAGGACGGCAUGGUUCUAUUUUGUUGGUUUCUAGGAUCACCGUAAUGAUUAAUAGGGAUAGUUGGGGGCAUUAGUAUUCAAUUGUCAGAGGUGAAAUUCUUGGAUUUAUUGAAGACUAACUUCUGCGAAAGCAUUUGCCAAGGAUGUUUUCAUUAAUCAAGAGCGAAAGUUAGGGGAUCGAAGACGAUCAGAUACCGUCGUAGUCUUAGCCAUAAACUAUGCCGACUAGGGAUCGGACGAUGUUAAUUUUUAAU